GCCGCCUGGGAAGUACGAGCGCAAGCUUAAAACUCAAAGGAAUAGGCGGGAAUUUGCACAAGCAGUGGAUCAUGUGGUUCAAUUCGACACUGAGCGAGGAACCUCACCAGGGCUUGAAAUUCUAGUGUAAGCCUUAGGAAACUAAGGCCCCCGCAAGGCACUAGGACAGGUGCUGCACGGCUGUCGUCAGCUCGUCAUGUGAAUGGUUUCCUUAAGUGGAUUAACGAGCGCAACCCCUAUUGUCUGUUAUACGUGUCAGACGAGACUGCUCCGGUAACGGAGAGGAAGGUGGGGAUGACGUCAAGUCAGCGUGGCCCUUUGAUGCCCUGGGCUACACACAUGAUACAAUGGGUGUUACAAUGGGUCGCUAAGCCGCGAGGCGGAGCUAAUCCCAUCAAAGGCACCCUCAGUUCGGAUAGGAGGCUGAAACUUGCCUCCUUGAAGCUGGAAUUGCUAGUAAUCGCUGAUCAGAACGCAGCGGUGAAUACGUUCUCAAAUUUUGCACUCACAAUAAAAGCGCCUGGCAGGUUAUGCCCGUCAACUCAAGGGAGCCGGUAAUACCUGAAGAUCCAUGUUUACACGUGGGGACACGGUAGGAUCGGUAACAGGGAGUAAGUCGUAACAAGGCAAGGCUAGCGGAAGCUGGUCUUGGAUCACCUCCUU
rnacentral:rRNA from 1 species